GAUGAACGCUGGCGGCGUGCCUAAUACAUGCAAGUCGAGCGAACAGACGAGGAGCUUGCUCCUCUGACGUUAGCGGCGGACGGGUGAGUAACACGUGGAUAACCUACCCAUAAGACUGGGAUAACUUCGGGAAACCGGAGCUAAUACCGGAUAAUAUAUUGAACCGCAUGGUUCAAUAGUGAAAGACGGUUUUGCUGUCACUUAUAGAUGGAUCCGCGCCGCAUUAGCUAGUUGGUAAGGUAACGGCUUACCAAGGCAACGAUGCGUAGCCGACCUGAGAGGGUGAUCGGCCACACUGGAACUGAGACACGGUCCAGACUCCUACGGGAGGCAGCAGUAGGGAAUCUUCCGCAAUGGGCGAAAGCUUGACGGAGCAACGCCGCGUGAGUGAUGAAGGUCUUCGGAUCGGAAAACUCUGUUAUUAGGGAAGAACAAAUGUGUAAGUAACUAUGCACGUCUUGACGGUACCUAAUCAGAAAGCCACGGCUAACUACGUGC
rnacentral:rRNA from 1 species